CUGUUGCUUGUGGAUCGUUGUUGUGAACUUUGAAUUCAACAACGAUCUGGAGGCAAUUGAC
rnacentral:pre_miRNA from 1 species